UUUGCUUUGGAAAUAUUAGGCUACUUAGUCAGCCAAAUUGACAAUUAAUGAGUAGAAAUGUAGUUAUCGACGUGAAAAUCACCUAUGCUUUAAAUCCCAUCAUCAUAAGGAAAUGAAGUGGAAUCCAGCCAUUCAUCACCAGUGAUGAAAUAUGAUACAGUAAAGUUAUAGGCGUCAUAAUCAUCCAUUAUAUGGUAUCCAGGCCAAGCAACUCUAUUAUCCACAGCAGAACCAGGUCCAUAAUUAUUAUACUCUCCAUAAUAUAAAGUGUCUAAGCCUUGAUCACCAGACCAAUUUGUCCACCCUGUUGGAUCAAUAAAAUCAUCAAUGUAUGACUCAAGAAUGACUGUCCUAGAGUAUACCCUCCAUGGCCUGCCUAGAUAGCUUUUAAUACUAGUAGAAUUAGAGUAUAAAUCAUCUGUAGCCUGAAUUGAACAAUUCUGUAUCGAAAUUCCAGUAUCUUCAUCAGGGUUAUCUCGAGAUUGGGCAGUAAUAACAGUGAAUUGGCCAGACAAUGGCUUUCUAGAUAUAAUGUUGCAAGCCUGGAAAACUACUGCAGCAUUGCCAAAUAUGUAGUCUAUAGUGCCAGAAAUGUCACAUUCUCGAUAAAACUGUCGAAAUGAGUGCACAUAUAAUGUGUCUUGGUACCCAUUAAUGGUGCAUCUAUACAUUGCUGCAAGGUCUGCAUUCAUGCGAAGAGCAACAGCUUGGUGCUUCUGUGGUCCUGCUGUGUUCUCAAUGGUUAUAUCCCGUGCCAAGAAACCCUCACCAGACACAGCAAGAGUUGCAGAUCUGAAAGUGGUCCAACCAUCAUCUACACUUCUGCUACCAGUAAUGAAUGUAAUAUCACUUCCAUCACCAAUCAGAACAAUAUUUGUCUUAUAGCUUGGAAUUUCUACAUUCUCUUCGUAUACCCCUUCUCUAAUAAAGAUAAUGACUCUGUCAUAACUAUUAUUUGGAGCAAAAUUUAUGGCAUCAGAGAUGGUACUGAAAUUCCCAGUUCCAUCAGCAGCUACUGUAAGCACUUCACUAGGGUCAUAUUCAUCAACAUCACUCUGCAAAGUCUUACCAUCUUUUUUCGAAAUCCAUUUUGGAAAUCCUAAGAGGCGGCGAUUCUUGUGAACCUUAUUAGAACUUGAACUAGAGAGCAUUGAAAGAGAGUUACUCACAUGCUUAUAUGUACUAAUCAAGGAAUUCACUAGAACAGGCUUCAAUGAACCAGUUGCAGAAUCUAGUCCUUCUAAGCAAGUGUUCUUGUUUGUGAGUGCUGCACUAAGAUAGGCUCUUGCAUCAGCUAGUUUUUCAGAGCCGCCUGCUUGGAUUCUUGAAACUGAUCUUUGUAAAGAAGACAAUGUGAUUUGAUGUAGUUCUUUGCAAUCUUGGAUUGCCCCUCUUUGUUUCUCAAUGAUAUUUGACCUGCCAGCAGUCGAAAAUAGAUUUGUUAGUUUUCCAGCCUCUGAUAUUGCAGUUUGAAGAGAAUGAAGGAGUAAGGUGAGGAUGUUUGGAUUAAUGUUUAUAGAUAUUGAAAGCUUUAACGAGUCAAAACAAGCAUCUGGGUAGGGUCUGCUAUUGCAGAAGUUUCUUAGGGAAGAGAGAUGUGUAUCGAGAGAAUUUGCAGAAGAUUUGUUCAGAGCCAAUAUGGAAGGGAAGAAGAUGGAAGCAAGGAGCUGGAGGAGAAGCAGCAGCUUUAGAAUGGAGAGAGCCAUUAGCCACAGAGCUGAUGCAAAA
rnacentral:misc_RNA from 1 species